GUGCCAGCCGCCGCGGUAAUACGGAGGGAGCUAGCGUUGUUCGGAAUUACUGGGCGUAAAGCGCGCGUAGGCGGCAUAGUAAGUCAGGGGUGAAAUCCCGGGGCUCAACCCCGGAACUGCCUUUGAAACUGCUGAGCUAGAAUCCUGGAGAGGCGAGUGGAAUUCCGAGUGUAGAGGUGAAAUUCGUAGAUAUUCGGAAGAACACCAGUGGCGAAGGCGACUCGCUGGACAGGUAUUGACGCUGAGGUGCGAAAGCGUGGGGAGCAAACAGGAUUAGAUACCCCGGUAGUCC
rnacentral:rRNA from 1 species